UUUUGUCGUAAGCUUUUAGAAUUGUUUGAUUAUGAAUCUCAAAAUACAGGAUUUUAUAUCAGUUACAUACAUUACAUAUAAAAAUGGCAUUGAAAGGUCAUAAUCUUAUUUAUUAAAGAUCACAUAAAUGUCAACGGAACAUUGUACUCUUUAGGUGUAAUACCACCAUUGAUUUUCCCCAAUUAGUCUUUGUUAAAUUUGCACUUUUCAAAACCAGCUGCAGAAAUUAUCUUUGUUUCAAAUAAAAAAAUCCUGUCCAGUACUAUAGACAAAAUUUCACAUACCAUUUCACAUGUUUCAUUGUGUAUAAGAAAAUAACCAUUGCUGGAAAUUAACCAACCAAAUUUAUUUUUCAAAUUUUGUAAGGAUUAUCAGAUAAAAUGAACUUUAAAACAAACAUUAGUCUUUACAGUAAACAAUUAUGUACAACCGUAAGGAUUAUUAAAUAAAAAGAUUUUUGAAACAAAAAUUAGUCUUGACAGAAGUCCCAGUAAAUAAUUAUGUACAACAAAAUCUCAUCCAAGAUCUCAAUUAUAUUUUGAAAUGUUACGAAGGUUAUAAAUAAUCUAGUAUCAGUUAGUUUGUUGUAAUAAAUUUUUACCAAAAAUUAC
rnacentral:lncRNA from 1 species